rnacentral:tRNA from 1 species
CUUUAAUAGUUUAAAAUUAAAACACUGGUCUUGUAAACCAGAACUGGGAACAUCCCUUAAAGUG